GGUUCCGUAGUGUAGUGGUUAUCACGUUCGCUUUACACGCGAAAGGUCCCCGGUUCGAUCCCGGGCGGAGCCA
rnacentral:tRNA from 1 species